UACGUAGGGUGCAGGCGUUAAUCGGAAUUACUGGGCGUAAAGCGUGCGCAGGCGGUCUUUUAAGUCAGAUGUGAAAUCCCCGGGCUUAACCUGGGAACUGCGUUUGAAACUGGGAGGCUAGAGUGUGGCAGAGGGGGGUGGAAUUCCACGUGUAGCAGUGAAAUGCGUAGAUAUGCGGAGGAACACCGAUGGCGAAGGCAAUCCCCUGGGCCUGCACUGACGCUCAUGCACGAAAGCGUGGGGAGCAAACAGG
rnacentral:rRNA from 1 species